CAUUAGAUAGCUUAAAGUAAGUAAUGGUCUCUUAAACCAUAAUAUAGUAAAUUAACAAAUACUUCUAAUGAAACCCACUACG
rnacentral:tRNA from 1 species